rnacentral:rRNA from 1 species
GACGAACGCUGGCGGCGUGCUUAACACAUGCAAGUCGAACGGAAAGGCCUUGCUUUUGUGGGGUGCUCGAGUGGCGAACGGGUGAGUAACACGUGAGUAACCUGCCCUUGACUUUGGGAUAACUUCAGGAAACUGGGGCUAAUACCGGAUAGGAGCUCCUGCUGCAUGGUGGGGGUUGGAAAGUUUCGGCGGUUGGGGAUGGACUCGCGGCUUAUCAGCUUGUUGGUGGGGUAGUGGCUUACCAAGGCUUUGACGGGUAGCCGGCCUGAGAGGGUGACCGGCCACAUUGGGACUGAGAUACGACCCAGACUCCUACGGGAGGCAGCAGUGGGGAAUAUUGCACAAUGGGCGGAAGCCUGAUGCAGCAACGCCGUGUGCGGGAUGACGGCCUUCGGGUUGUAAACCGCUUUCGCCUGUGACGAAGCGUGAGUGACGGUAAUGGGUAAAGAAGCACCGGCUAACUACGUG